GCUUACGGCCAUACCACCCUGAGAACGCCCGAUCUCGUCUGAUCUCGGAAGUUAAGCAGGGUCGGGCCUGGUUAGUACUUGGAUGGGAGACCACCUGGGAAUACCAGGUGCUGUAAGCU
rnacentral:rRNA from 1 species